UUCUGGAACAUAAAAACCUGUCAGUGCUGCUCUCCAGCUCAAUGUCCCCCUCUCCACACUGCUGAACCAAAGCAAGCAGGACCCUGGGAGGGGGCUGAAGCAUGCUGUGCUGAGCAGGUACAAAAAUUGCUAUUAAAUGACUUUAAUUCCCCUUAAAUAACUUUAUAUUUCACCCCGCACGGCCUCGGCAAUGAUGAAGGUCUGAGAUGACAGCGUUGGGUUUCUCCGAGCCCCGCUUGCAAGGAGCCGUGGCGAUGCUUUCUGAGAAAUCGGUGUAAAUGAAGGAAGGGAAAAAAUAACAGUUGAGGAAAUUACUCGAAAUUCUGCCUGGGAUCGCCUGGUAGCUAUCCUCCAGCCUCUGGAAAACGUCGCCGCAUGGCUGCAGCGGGCUCGGCGGCUGGGCUGCUGCGGGCGGGUGAAGGCAGGAAGAAAAAUGACCCAGUGUCGCUCUUACAAACAGCUUCCCGAAAGCAGCCUGCGGCCAGGAAUGCUGCUGGAUGCAAUCCCUUGGAGGAGGAGAAAGUCCAGGCCACAAUGGUGCUUGGCUCCGCUCCUCACCAUCCCGUGCCCAAAAACAGCCUCCUGCAGCCGAAAUCUGGUUGGCGUCAGUGGGCUUUAACUGUUGCCUCGUGCCCUCUGAGCCCAGGUGAGUGGCUGUGGCGUGGGUCAACCCUGCUCAACCACUGCUGAAAUAGCAAAUAUGUAUAAAUAUAACUGCUAAUAUAGCAGCAACCUGUGGCACUCCUAUAGGGCUGCACGGGAGUCAGGGAGCUAAAUCCCGGGGGUCCUGGCCCCCAGAGCAGUCCAGGUGUUUGGGGAUGGGGAGAUCUCAGUACCUGAAGCUGCUGCGCUGGAAAUUAGUGCUGAAUUCUCUUCUGAUCCCUAGCAAAGUUGCUAAAACGGGACCAAAAAAGCCAUAAUCCAUCCUGGCUCUGGGACAGCGGCAGUACGGGUGGGAUGGGUUUUGUUCCCAGUCCCCACCGUGCCCGCACCGGUUCCUGGUCCUGAAUGGCACCACGAUAAUUUCUCGAGGUUCUCCCUAACCCCGGGGACAUCCGAGCUCAAAAAUAAACCCGCAGCAGAGGCGGGGAAGCA
rnacentral:lncRNA from 1 species